rnacentral:rRNA from 1 species
AGGAUGAACGCUGGCGGCGUGCCUAACACAUGCAAGUCGAACGUCCUGUCUCGCAAGAGGCAGGGAGUGGCGGACGGGUGAGUACCACGUGGGUCAUCUACCGUGAGGUGAGGAAUACCGGCGAGAAAUCGCCGACAAGACCGCAUAGCCUCGGUGCAAGCCGAGGAAGGCUCUUUCGAGAGAGGGAGCGCCACACGAGGAGCCUGCGCCCGAUUAGCUAGCUGGUGGAGUAACGGUUCACCAGGGCGACGAUCGGUAGCUGGUCUGAGAGGACGAUCAGCCACACUGGGAUUGAGAACGGCCCAGACUCCUACGGGGGGCAGCAGUGAGGAAUUUUCGUCAAUGGGGGCAACCCUGAACGAGCAACGCCGCGUGCAGGAAGAAGGUUUUCGGAUCGUAAACUGCUUUUCUCGGGGAAGAGAACGGACGGUACCCGAGGAAUCGAGCCCCGGCUAACUACGUGCCAGCAGCCGCGGUAA